rnacentral:rRNA from 1 species
GUAGGUGGCAAGCGUUGUCCGGAAUUAUUGGGCGUAAAGCGCGCGCAGGCGGUCCUUUAAGUCUGAUGUGAAAGCCCACGGCUCAACCGUGGAGGGUCAUUGGAAACUGGGGGACUUGAGUACAGAAGAGGAAAGCGGAAUUCCAAGUGUAGCGGUGAAAUGCGUAGAGAUUUGGAGGAACACCAGUGGCGAAGGCGGCUUUCUGGUCUGUAACUGACGCUGAGGCGCGAAAGCGUGGGGAGCAAACAGGAUUAGAUACCCUGGUAGUCCACGCCGUAAACGAUGAGUGCUAAGUGUUAGGGGGUUUCCCGCCCCCUUAGUGCUGCAGCUAGCGCAUUAAGCACUCCGGCCUGGGGAGUACGGCCGCAAGGCUG